rnacentral:rRNA from 1 species
UACGUAGGGUCCGAGCGUUGUCCGGAUUUAUUGGGCGUAAAGAGCUCGUAGGCGGUCUGUUGCGUCCGCUGUGAAAACUCGGGGCUUAACCCCGAGCCUGCAGUGGAUACGGGCAGACUAGAGGUAGGUAGGGGAGAAUGGAAUUCCCGGUGUAGCGGUGAAAUGCGCAGAUAUCGGGAGGAACACCGGUGGCGAAAGCGGCUCACUGGACCACAACUGACGCUGAUGCGCGAAAGCUAGGGGAGCAAACAGG